rnacentral:rRNA from 1 species
AUCGAACGCUGGCGGCAUGCUUAACACAUGCAAGUCGAGCGGAGCGUCGGACGGGUGAGUAAUGCUUAGGAAUCUGCCUGUUAGUGGCGUACACCACCUCGAAAGGUCUGCUAAUCCCGCAUACUUAUAGAUGAGCCUAAGUUGUAUUAGCUGGUUGGUGGGGUAAAGGCCUACCAAGGUGAAGAUCUGUAGCGGGUCUGAGUGGAUGAUCCGCCAAACUGGGACUGAGAAACGGGCCAGAAUCCUAAGGGAAGCAGCAAUGGGGAAUAUUGGGCAAUGGGAGGAAACCUGAUCCGGGCAUGCCGGGUGUGUGAAGAAGGCCUUAUGGUGGGAAAGAAUUUGAAGCGAGGAGGCGUUAGUUAACGAGUAAGCACCGGCUAACUAUGUGCCAGCAGCCGCGGUAAUAC